UACGUAGGGGGCAAGCGUUGUCCGGAAUCAUUGGGCGUAAAGAGCGCGUAGGCGGCCCAGUAAGUCCGCUCUGAAAGUCAGAGGCUCAACCUCUGAAUGCGGGUGGAUACUGCUGGGCUAGAGUCCGGAAGAGGCGAGUGGAAUUCCUGGUGUAGCGGUGAAAUGCGCAGAUAUCAGGAGGAACACCGAUGGCGAAGGCAGUGUUCUGGGCCGAAACUGACGCUGAGGAGCGAAGCGUGGGGAGCGAACAGGAUA
rnacentral:rRNA from 1 species